rnacentral:rRNA from 1 species
AACCUUCAUAAGGUGAAACCGCGAACGGCUCAUUAUAACAGCUAUAAUUUACUAGACCUUGAGCAACUACUUGGAUACCUGUGGUAAUUCUAGAGCUAAUACAUGCACCGAAGUUGUUCCUCACGGAGCAAUGCAUUUAUUUGAGCAAAACCAGGCGGCUUCGGCCGUUUCUGUUGAUUCAGAAUAACUAAGCUGAUCGCAUGGGCUUGUCCCGGCGACGUGUCUUUCAAGUGUCUGCCUUAUCAACUUUCGAUGGUAGUGUACGUGACUACCAUGGUGUUGACGGGUAACGGAGGAUAAGGGUUCGACUCCGGAGAAGGGGCCUGAGAAAUGGCCACUACGUCUAAGGAUGGCAGCAGGCGCGCAAAUUACCCACUCUCAGUUCGAGGAGGUAGUGACGAAAAAUAACAAGGCCGUUCUCUUUGAGGCCGGCCAUUGGAAUGGGUACAACUUAAACCCUUUAACGAGUAUCAAUGAGAGGGCAAGUCUGGUGCCAGCAGCCGCGGUAAUUCCAGCUCUCAAAAUGCAUAGAACCAUUGCUGCGGUUAAAAAGCUCGUAGUUGGAUCUGUGCCGGCGACGUGGUCCGCCCUAACCGGCGGUACUGCGCUCGUCGGCUUUGGGCCGGUCUUCGGUCGGUCGCCUUCACUGGCGGCCGCUCGUGGCUGGCUGGUUUACUUUGAGCAAAUCAGAGUGCUCAGCACAGGCGUCUCGCCGGAAUGUUCGUGCAUGGAAUAAUAGAAAAGGAUUUCGGUUCUCUUUUAUUGGUUUUGUGAACUGAGAUAAUGGUUAACAGAGACGGACGGGGGCAUUCGUAUUGCUGCGUGAGAGGUGAAAUUCUUGGACCGCAGCAGGACGGACUACAGCGA